rnacentral:tRNA from 1 species
GCCUCUAUAGCUCAGUGGUAGAGCACUGGUCUCGUAAACCAGGGGUCGGGAGUUCAAUCCUCACAGGAGGUA